rnacentral:rRNA from 1 species
UACGUAGGGUGCAAGCGUUGUCCGGAAUUAUUGGGCGUAAAGAGCUCGUAGGCGGUUCGUCGCGUCGGCUGUGAAAACCCGAGGCUCAACCUCGGGCCUGCAGUCGAUACGGGCGGACUGGAGUUCGGCAGGGGAGACUGGAAUUCCUGGUGUAGCGGUGAAAUGCGCAGAUAUCAGGAGGAACACCGAUGGCGAAGGCAGGUCUCUGGGCCACUACUGACGCUGAGAAGCGAAAGCGUGGGGAGCGAACAGG